rnacentral:rRNA from 1 species
CGCCUUUAGAACAUAUAAUUAAAGGUCCAGCCUGCCCAGUGAACCCUUCAACGGCCGCGGUAUCCUGACCGUGCUAAGGUAGCACAAUCCCUUGCCUUUUAAUUGAUGGCUAGUAUGAACGGCUAGACGAGUGUGACCUUGUCUCUAGUAGGCCCCAUAUAAACUAACCUUCAGGUGAAGAGGCCUGAAUUCCAAAGCAGGACGAGAAGACCCUAUCGAGCUUCACUAGUCAUAAGCCUUUAUCGCUUAUAAAAGUUUUGUUGGGGCAACAAAAAAUCAAACAAAGCAUUUUUCCUGGCCCACGGCAAAUAUGCCAAAACCUGACCCGGCUCACGCCGACUAUAAGAAAUAGCUACCGUAGGGAUAACAGACUAAUUCCUUCCAAGAGCUCACAUUGACGAAGGAGCUUGGCACCUCGAUGUUGGCUUAGGGCCCCUACAAAAGGCAGCACUUUUGUAAGCAGGUUUGUUCAACCUUUAAAGCCCUA